UGUGAUGUCAGGUCAGUUUGGCUAAACUAAAGCCUGAUAUCUGUUCUUAUCAGUAUAAUAUAUGAUAGGUACUUGCUGCAAAGACUUGCUACUAAACAGAUUCUUGGAUCUGGGAGAUGGCCCGGGGCUUGCUCCAGCCAUCCCGCGCAUCACCCCUGUAUUGCAGUGCCUCUGGGAGCCGUGUGAUGUGA
ensembl:snRNA U2 U2 spliceosomal RNA